AUUGAACGCCGGCGGCAUGCCUUACACAUGCAAGUCGAACGGUAACAGGCCGCAAGGUGCUGACGAGUGGCGAACGGGUGAGUAAUGCAUCGGAACGUGCCCAGUCGUGGGGGAUAACUGCUCGAAAGAGCAGCUAAUACCGCAUACGACCUGAGGGUGAAAGCGGGGGACCGAAAGGCCUCGCGCGAUUGGAGCGGCCGAUGUCAGAUUAGGUAGUUGGUGGGGUAAAGGCCUACCAAGCCGACGAUCUGUAGUUGGUCUGAGAGGACGACCAGCCACACUGGGACUGAGACACGGCCCAGACUCCUACGGGAGGCAGCAGUGGGGAAUUUUGGACAAUGGGGGCAACCCUGAUCCAGCAAUGCCGCGUGCAGGAAGAAGGCCUUCGGGUUGUAAACUGCUUUUGUCAGGGAAGAAAUCCUGUGGGUUAAUACCUCGUGGGGAUGACGGUACCUGAAGAAUAAGCACCGGCUAACUACGUGCCAGCCGCCGCAGUAAGAC
rnacentral:rRNA from 1 species